AUGGAGCUUGCUGGGCUCUGGGAUCUGCAUGUACAUGUAGGAGGUGAGCCACAGAGGGGAAGCAAAACGAUCCUUCUACUGCUAUGGGCCUGGCAGUUGAAGAUCAGCAACCCAUUACCCCAGCUCCCCUUUGGCCCUGGAGCAGCCCAGGCUCCUUGGAGGGGAUGUCAUCCACUCCUGGCCACUGGGCCUGGACCUACCCAAGCCACUCCUGAGACUGAGAGGCUUUCAGGCCUGCCUUCAGCUCCCCCUGUAAAGCCCAGAAGAUUUAGCAUCUAGAUGGGACAAUUCUACCAGGAUGGAACCACAUCCAUCCAAGGCUGGUCUCAGGUAGGUGGAGUGUCAUGGGAUGGAGGUCCUGCCUAAAGACCCCUUGUACUCCCAAUAGAGGCCAGCAGACCAAGCCUAGGGGUCCCCUGCAAGGAGCAGGACUGGAGCUGGGACAAGAGUGGCCCUUACCCUACAGGAAAGCAGGAGCCUCCACAGACUCCAGCAGAGAGGACUUGGACUGUUUCCAUCAUAACAGCUGGAAUUUUUCAGGGGCCCUUGAUGGUUGUGCCCCCGCAAGCUAAACCCUUUAGUGUCUCCUCUGAGCCUUCCUUUCCUUCACCCCUUUAAAGGCCAGUGUUUCAUACACGAGGAUGGCUCAUUCCCUCCCAUGGCACUACACCCUCCACCUACUGGGACUUCCUCCUUUGGUCACCUCGUUUUCCAGCUGAGCAACUGGUGAGCCCAUGAGGAAGGGUCUGAGGCCAUUGCGUUUGUAUAUUGUGGGCACCCUGGAAGAAGUGCCAGCCAGCACCUUCCCGGCAUCCAUGUCCCACCAAGCUUUGUAGCUCACCCAGUAAGCCAGGCUUGGAAAAAGUGGGCAGUGGAAGAAAGGUCAAAGGGUUCUUGGGGGCAGAACCCAAGAUUCAAGAUGGAGGUUCAGCCCAUUCUUGCUGGUGAGCCCUCAUUAAGUCACGACAUCUCUCUGAGUCUAUCUUCAUCUCCAGAGGAGAACACCUCUCGUUACCAGUCUUCCCUGAGAGACAAUCGCCCCACAGCCCAAUGAGGGGACGGCUGUGGUAUGUAUCCACACCUCCCUGGUUUCCAGCUGCCCUCUGGGAGGAGUCCUUGGUUCUGGGGCUGGGCUAAGGCUGCCUCUCUCUCCCUAGGCCUCCAUCUGAUUCCACUGAAGGAAGUUGCCACCCAUGUAUGUGCACAUAAUUCCUGAAGACAAGAGUUACAGUGUGAAGGAAUUGAAUGAGAUUCUAUUGGAAAAACCCUGUCAUGUUUUAUCUUAAACUUUCUAUUCAUUUUUUUGGUAGAGGUGGGGGGUGUGACUUUUAUUAUAAUUUUUUUGUAGUGUUUUCGUGAACUAAGGGGCUCAUUAAAAUUUUUCCUAUGUAGACUUGUGCUCUCUCUUCCUUAAAUAUUCUUUA
rnacentral:lncRNA from 1 species